UUUUUUUUUUAGCAUCAGCUCAGAGGGAACAUAAAAUUAGUUCUUGGUAAGACGAAUGCUGUUCUCCACUUGGGUUAUGAGGCGAUUGGAACCUCCUACAUGCUCUUCUGUUGGAGAUUCCUGUCCUGUCAUUUUACUGACAGACAAGCCACUACAGGCUCUUUCCCAGAAGUUGACCGAAGAAACUCAAGCACUGCUGUUUCUUCCCUCCCAAGUCCGGUGUGCCGCCUGGUAAUGGAUUGCUUUUCUCUGAGCUUCCACCCUGGAGAGACCCCCCAGGUCUAGUCUGUGAACCCAGCU
rnacentral:lncRNA from 1 species